CUCAGAACGAACGCUGGCGGCAGGCCUAACACAUGCAAGUCGAACGGAUCCCUUCGGGAUUAGUGGCAGACGGGUGAGUAACGCGUGGGAAGCUACCUUGUGGUAGGGAACAACAGUUGGAAACGACUGCUAAUACCCUAUGAGCCCUAUGGGGGAAAGAUUUAUCGCCAUGAGAUGUGCCCGCGUUAGAUUAGCUAGUUGGUAAGGUAAUGGCUUACCAAGGCGACGAUCUAUAGCUGGUCUGAGAGGAUGAUCAGCCACACUGGGACUGAGACACGGCCCAGACUCCUACGGGAGGCAGCAGUGGGGAAUAUUGGACAAUGGGGGCAACCCUGAUCCAGCCAUGCCGCGUGAGUGAUGACGGCCUUAGGGUUGUAAAGCUCUUUCAGCAGUGAAGAUAAUGACAUUAACUGCAGAAGAAGCCCCGGCUAACUUCGUGCCAGCAGCCGCGGUAAUACGAAGGGGGCUAGCGUUGUUCGGAAUCACUGGGCGUAAAGCGUACGUAGGCGGACUGAUCAGUCAGGGGUGAAAUCCCGGGGCUCAACCCCGGAACUGCCUUUGAUACUGUCAGUCUUGAGAUCGAGAGAGGUGAGUGGAACUCCGAGUGUAGAGGUGAAAUUCGUAGAUAUUCGGAAGAACACCAGUGGCGAAGGCGGCUCACUGGCUCGAUACCUGACG
rnacentral:rRNA from 1 species